rnacentral:lncRNA from 1 species
AGAACAUCCAAGGACCAAGAUGAAUGGCAAAGCUGCAUUCCAAGAGUUCCAGUCAACAAAGAAUUUGUGGCAGUGUUUGCCCACUUCCCACCCACAGAAUAACCUUUGUCCAGUCCAAACCACAGAUCUCUGCUCAGCCCUGAGACUCUGGGCACAUCCCAGGCCAUGUUCACAAUCAAAGCAGGAAGCAAAACCUAUCUUAUUCAUGGACACAGAAGGAGAAUGGGAAAGUUGGAUGAAGAGGUGGACAUGUAC